GCCACUGUGCCCGGCCAUGACCAGCACUUUUUAAUGAAAAUAUCUGUGUGUAGCACACAGUAGACUUAUUUUUGCUUCAAUUUACAUAUCGAUGAGUGUGUUCCUUUCCAGGUUCCCUCGUUCAUCCACCCUGAAUGAAGACAGAUACUCACCUGGUAAUGGCCUGAGAUCUGACUGAAGCCUGAGAGGUGACUCAGCCACAAGACACUCAGGGUUCAUUAGAAUUGUCUAGUCCCAGGUCUGCUUCCUCCAAGCGGUGAGACCUUGAGGCAUUGCAGUAACGCCUCUUGAGUCUUCCUUUUCUCAUUUUAAGGACAGGACUAAUACCUGUCCUGCCCUGCCUCAUGGGGUUGUAAUAAUGAUCAAAUGAAGUGGUGCUCUUGACCAGUGGCAAGAACUUCAGAAAUGUGAGUUGUAACAAUUUGUAUUUGUUAGCAGUAAAUAAAAGUGCUUGGAACCGGCAGCCUCUGGGGCAAUUAAAUAUAGAAGAUAAAACCCAUGCCUUUUGGAAACUAGCAUUCUUCCACAAAUACUGCUUCCAGACUACUAAAUGGAAGUUGUUUCUGGAAGAUGGAUAGAUUUAAGAAUCUUGGCCACGGAGCUCCUUUUUGCAUCCCACAGAAAGGGGCUCUGCUCACAAGGAAGUCUUCCUCCCUAGACUGAGCCUCCCAGAAGCACACCCUGAACAACUCUGCAGAGCUGAGCAGCAUACUUCCUGUCCUACAAGUACUGUUUUAGUGAUACCUGCUGCCUCCCAGAGAGAAGUGGCAGCAUCUCAUUGGUGGGGUUGGGGGAAUUAGGGAAUGCAUGUUAAUGUGAACCCCAAGAGUGAGUUGAUAGCUGGUGAAGAGGGAGAAGGUAGAGGUGAGGGCCUUUAGGUUGGCCGGCUGGGCUUGCCUUGCAGUCAGUAAAGCCCCCUCAUGCAGAGCCAUUCAUCUCCUGUUGGGAACGCUGACCUUUUGGUUCAGAUGCCUGAUAUAAACUCACUGAUAUGGGAGGGGAGGAUCUGAAUGGGUAGGAAGGAAACAGGGAAAGUUACUAGGACAGACAGAUUCUAAGGCUUCUCUGAAAGGAAGGAAGGAGUUGUGAUGUGCUACCGGGGAGGUCCAAGGGAGAAGGGCCUGGGCAGUGUGCACCACUGGUGAGGGUGUGAAAAAUGGGCUGGUGACUGGCCACCAAAUGGCUUGGGGAGAAGUGGCUGGAGAGAGGGUCACCUGUGUGGUGGGAGGGAUCGGACAAGUGUUUUUAGAUGUUAUGAGAAUGUCUAAGUUUGACACAAGACACUCCUAAGUUUGCAAAGAAAGGAUAUACAGUCACCUUCCUUCAAUAUCAGAAACAACAUGCUGGGGAUUAAAAAUAAAUACUUGGCCAAGAACCUGACCAUUUACCAGGUGCAUCCAUACAGUAAAUAUCUGAGUGUCUCUUACAUGCCUGGCAUGUCCCACUUCACCCACAGGAAGAAGUCCAUUUUAUAAAUGAAGAAACUGGGGCUCAAAGAAGUAUGUGAACCUAAGGUUUCAGUCUUCUUAAAUCCUGCUUCUUGAUCUCCUCUAAUACCAUAGCACACUCAAGAAAUGAGCAUCUUUAAUUGUGCUUGGAUUGGCAGAAUCUGCCUUUAGCUGGAGGAGCAGACGUAAUGGCUUUAAUGAGCUACUUAACUACUUUCUAGAGACAACCAAGAGACACUUGAAGAGCCCAGUCUGAGACCUGGUUCCACCUUUCCAUCCCUUCUGUGUCCCUGCCUCCAGCCCCCACCCCCAGGACACAUCUGGCAGUGAAGGGACUCCAAUUCCUGUUCUAGGGAGUGGCCCCCACUUGUGCUCAAAGUAUAAUUAAGUGGCUUAAAAGUAAGUGCAAGGGUCCGGAGAAGGACUUGACUGCAUGAGGGA
rnacentral:lncRNA from 1 species